UACGUAGGGGGCUAGCGUUGUCCGGAAUCAUUGGGCGUAAAGAGCGUGUAGGCGGCCCGGUAAGUCCGCUGUAAAAGUCAAAGGCUCAACCUUUGAAUGUCAGUGGAUACUGCCAGGCUAGAGUCCGGAAGAGGCGAGUGGAACUCCUGGUGUAGCGGUGGAAUGCGCAGAUAUCAGGAAGAACACCAACGGCGAAGGCAGCUCGCUGGGACGGUACUGACGCUGAGACGCGAAAAGCGUGGGGGAGCGAACAGG
rnacentral:rRNA from 1 species